UAUGUUUAAACGUGAGGGUUGGUUUGUUCAGUGAACAUACUAUGAACUUCAACACUGUGACACCCGACAUCACCUGGCUCCUUAAUGAAACCCGCCCUGUAGUUUUCCUGGAGCUUCACGGACAGAGAAAGAGCGGGAGUUACAGAACGCUGACCCACUGAUAACCCGGCAUGGUGUGAAACACGUCACGUAGUGGCUGCAAACCCGUGUAGGCCCCUGUGCUGUCCUGGAAGUUGACUGGUGACCACAGGUGGAAAACCAACAGUAUGUUGUCACCCCAACUCAGACACCACCUCCAGGCUUGAGCUCAAGGAGAAAAUGGAAAUAGCCAACAUCGAACCGACACAGUCAAUACCACUCUCCAGAAAAGGGCUGAGAGGGACGUUCUCCGCCGAAGAGCAAGAAUGAUGGAGGGAGGAGUGGGCGAUAGCCGGAGUAUGUCAGGUUUCAUCUACCCUGUGUGACACGCAGCUCUCUGACAGCUCUGCUGCACUCGAUCCAGUCUCAAAACUCUCUCUCUCAUGCUCACACACACUUUUUUUUCUCUCCCCAUGUCGCCCUCUCUUUCUUUCAUGCACUAACCCUUCUGUCUUUUCCCUCUAUUUCCAGUUCUCACACUCUAUCUUCAUCAGUCUCUCACCCCCUCUGGGCUGCCAUUUUGCAGCAUAUGGCUCUCCCACACAAGUAAUCACACAUGCACUGCCAUAUGCGUUUGCUCAUACACCCUCACAUGCACUGUCUUUCCCUCUCCUCUCCUGUUUAUGUGCUCCUCUUCCUUCUCUGUGUAUCUUUAUUAAAAUAGCACCUAGCCAAGUCAUUCGCAUUUAAAUGAGCUAAUUAUGAAAAAGUAGGAUGGAGAAGAGGGGAUGUGAUUGGUAGGAUGACUUUGACUCUGAGAUUUCCACCGCUGUCGUUUGAUAUUUCUUCUGACCAAUUGGCUGAAAUCGCUGUCAUUCAGGCAUUCAUAAGCUGUCAGUCACUGUGAAAUGUAAUUUCCCCACACAUGAUUUGAUUUGUCAGCCUCUUCCAAUUUCUCUGCCCACUUUUGUCUCAAACAAAUGGAGCAUUGAGCUACAGGCCCUGGUACAGUUUGGUCAUCUGACCUUCAGGUGUUCCAUUGUAUGUGAAGCAGGGCAUUGUGUCAGGCCUAAAACAUGCUUAAAGUAACAUCUAACAUCUUGCACAGCGGGGUUUCCUGACAUGUUUCCUCACAGAGGAGUUGCAAAAUGUGAAACACAUGUAAUGCAUAUCACAAGGACAGUAAAAAACCCAUGCUGAAUACAUGUUUUAGGCCUCAGUCAUUACUGAUUUAAUUAAGGUUCAAAGUGUAGGCAAAGAGUAAUUGUGGUCUUAAUCUCAACAGAAUAGGAUUAAUAAUGUUACAAUCCAGAAAAAUGAGGAUUAACAUGGUGAGACCUUGAGGGGUGACAUCUGGAGCUCACGGUACAGUUUAAUAAGGUGCAGUAACCACUGGGAUGUUUCAACAAACAGCAUAUAUUUAGCAAAGAAUACAUGCUAAGGAAUUCAUGCACCCUUGGGGAAGAAAUCAAAUGUGCCUUUAAUGCAGAGCAUAAGUCAAGUAAAUUUUUUUUUCAGUCAAAAUUACAAACCAAAAAUGUACCUCAAAGGGCUUUACAAUUUGUACAGCAUACAACGUCCUCUAUUCUUAGACCCUCGUUUCUAAGACAACUGUUCACACCAGGAAACUAGAAGUAUACAGUCAUUAUGUUAAUGCAGAAGAUACUGUAUAUUUGCACAUAUACGGAUGGCUUAUGUGCAGAGAUAUCCUUACAAUAGAUAAAUAUGGUACUGUUUCUUUACAAAAAUAAGAAAAGAAAAGCAAUUUUUUUUGUCGUCUGCAUUUUCACAAAUAUGUUGUAGAAGCUGUGCAUUUCCAUUAACUAGAACAUAAGGAGUACAACUAUAUCAUUUAAUUCAGGAAUACAAAGAUUUAGCUGACCUGCUGUAAAAGGAGGAGACAUUUUCUGAAUAAUCUAUAGAAAUACAAAACAAUGCAUACAAGCUGAUCUAAAAUACGUUUUUUUCAUUUUACAUUAGACAGAAACUGCACAGUGUUCACAGUGCAGAGGAGUCACCUGUGUCUCUCCCACACAGACACAUACAGUACAUACAUAAUCAUUAGUUCUCUCUCUCUCUAAUCAGUGGAAGCUCUGCCUCGUUCUUUCCUUCUGUAAUUACAUCCCACGUACCGCAUCAAGCGGCAGAUUGAAUCCUCAUUGCUGCGCUAAACAAGUUUCAAGAGGAGAGAUUGAGAGAGAGACGGAGAGAGGGAUCUCACCCUCUUUAAUGAAUUCUGUCUGUCUCUCAGUCCUGUUGUCUCUCUGUCACUGUGUGUGUGUGUGUGUGUGUGUGUGACAGAAUGGGGUUCUUCUAUGACGGCUUGAUCAAACAAACACACACACACACACUGACACAUACACUCACGCCUGACGCCAAAUGUGUUUGAUCGCAGUAUUGUUGGUUGUGUGUUUUUAUUACCUUUGAC